GCCCAGUAUUUCCCUAUCUCCUGUCUGUAUCAAAAAGAAUUUCACGCCCGCUAAGAUGGCGAUGGCUACGGCAGCAACGGCGGCGGCUGUUGCCGGCCCGGGACCCUAGGGACGGGGGCCGAGUAGCGCCUUCCCCGGGCCCCGUGAACCGGCUGCGGGUCGCCCUUGGGGGGCAGCGGCCGCAGCCCCCCACCCGGGCCCUCGGUCUGCCCUCCCGGCGCGUCCAUGAACUCGGUGUUGCCGGCCGCCGCGCAGUACCGGAGCAGCAGCCCGGAGGACGCGCGCCGCCCGCCCGAGGCCCAGACCCCAACGGCUUGGGGCCCUCCGGAGCCAGCGGCCCCGCUCUUGGCUCUCCCGGGGCUGGCCGGAGUGAGCCGGACGAAGUGGACAAGUUCAAGGCCAAGUUCCUGACAGCCUGGAACAACGUCAAGUACGGUCGGGUGGUUAAAAGCCGGACCAGCUUUAGCAAGAUCUCCAGCAUCCAUCUCUGUGGCUGCCGCUACCGUUUCGAGGGCGAGGGUGACAUACAGCGUUUCCAGCGGGACUUUGUGUCCCGCCUGUGGCUCACAUACCGCCGGGACUUCCCGCCCCUUCCCGGGGGCUGCCUGACCUCGGACUGUGGCUUGGGGUGCAUGUUACGCAGCGGCCAGAUGAUGCUGGCACAGGGCCUGCUGCUGCAUUUCCUGCCCAGAGACUGGACAUGGGCCGAGGGCACGGGCCUGGGCCCCCCUGAGCUGUCAGGGUCAGCCUUUCCCAGCAGGUACCAUGGGCCUGCCCGCUGGAUGCCCCCACGCUGGGCCCAGGGUGCCCCUGAGCUGGAGCAGGAAGGCCGGCACCGGCAGAUUGUGUCCUGGUUCGCCGACCACCCCCGGGCCCCCUUUGGCCUACACGGGCUGGUGGAGCUUGGACAGAGCUCAGGCAAGAAGGCAGGUGACUGGUAUGGGCCAUCGCUGGUGGCACACAUCCUCAGGAAAGCCGUGGAGAGCUGCUCCGAGGUCACCCGCCUGGUGGUGUACGUUUCUCAGGACUGCACAGUGUACAAGGAGGAUGUGGCACGCCUGGUGGCCAGGCCAGACCCCACAGCCGAGUGGAAGUCUGUGGUCAUCCUGGUGCCCGUGCGACUGGGUGGCGAGACUCUCGACCCCGUGUAUGUGCCCUGCAUGAAGGAGCUCCUGCGCUGCCAGCUGUGCUUGGGCAUCAUGGGUGGGAAACCGCGACACUCACUGUACUUCGUUGGCUACCAAGAUGACUUCCUGCUGUACCUGGACCCUCACUACUGCCAGCCCACUGUGGAUGUCAGCCAGGCUGACUUCCCCCUGGAGUCCUUCCACUGCACCUCGCCCCGCAAGAUGGCCUUCGCCAAGAUGGACCCAAGCUGUACUGUGGGCUUCUAUGCUGGAGACAGGAAGGAGUUUGAGACACUCUGCCCAGAGCUGACCAAGGUCCUCAGCUCCUCCUCAGCCACGGAGCGGUACCCCAUGUUCAACCUGGCCGAGAGCCAUGCUCAGGACCACAGCCUGGACGACUUCUGCUCCCAGCUCUCCCAGCCCACACUCCAGCUCCCUCGCACAGGGCGGCUCCUCAGGGCCAAACGCCCCAGCUCUGAGGACUUUGUGUUUUCAUAAAGGGAGGGGAUGAGGGGAAAGAUGCAACACUAUUUAUUUUUUUAUGUAUGUCAUGUCAGGUGUGGGAUCUUGAGCUCUGGCAGUGAUGAUGGUACUUCCUGUUCUCAGUCCCUCAAGCCCAACUGCAACCAGUCUGGGGCCAUUCAGCCAGGGACAGAGCCCAUAUGCACCUGUCUCCCACCAGCGGGGCCCUCCUGGCAGGGGAGGGAGGGAGGACCCCGGGCACCCCCCUCAGGGCCUGACUCACGUACUGUAGUUUGCACUGGAUGCCCGGGCCCUCCCUGUCCCAAAGCCCCCUUGGGGGAACUGUGGCUGCUGGGGGCCAAUAAAGCUGUGUGACUUGAAAAAAAAAAAAAAAAAAA